rnacentral:lncRNA from 12 species
AUGGUACAGCCUCCCUCUGGCCCUUUUGCUUCGGGAGAACAGCUCUGUUUGAUGCCACUUCUGCUUUUUAGUGAUCGCUCCUCCAAAAGUUGCUUUUGUUGCAACUCUGUGUGGUUAGCCUGUCUCUGUUUAUCCGAUGUUAAAACCGCUGAAAGUACUGAAGUGGACUGCCAUGAGCUCUUGGAGAAUUCAUGUGGAUGCUCUUUGAGAUGCCUCUGGGAACUCUGCAGGGUUGCACAUUCUUGCAGCUAUGGAAACAGGCUGUGGGAAUGUCCAUGCCAGGAUCUGGUCAACUCACCCAUGGUACCGAAUUAACCAAAGGAAAAUUUAGCCCAGGUCAAGGACUCCAUUUAAACUGAGCCUGGGAAUGUCAGGGUCAUUUGGUUGGAAAUGUGCGGAAUUUUGUGCUGAGGAGAGUGAUGUUGAAUGAUACUGCAGUAUUUUUGCUCCAAAAAAAUUAUUGGAUUAUUAAUUGAUCUUAAGAACUUCGAACUUGAUUUAAGAAAGAUUUAAGCUCAGUUCAAGUAAAAUUUACUGUAAAGCUACAUAUGUUCAAAGUUGACUAGCUACUGGGGUCUGAACCACAAUUCCACAUGUUGAUCUUGAGGGGCCCUAUAUAAUUUGGCUGGUUUAGAUGCAUGUCCAUUAAAUUGAUGGAAAUAUACUGUAUAGAUUCUAAGCACAUGUGAUAUUCAAUAAAAUAAUAAUGUCUCGAGACCCCUGUGUUCUGCUAUAUAUUAUAGCUCGCCAACAUGCAUUUUUGAAGCAACAGUCCACCGUGUUUUGCCCCCUGAGGCAGAAUGAGGAACUAGUAGUCCAGGCAUCUAGAGUUCUGGUUUCUGUUUGCUUUCUGCAUUCUCCAUCUCCACAGCUUUCAUGCUUGUGUGCAUACUAUGUAUGUGUGUACAUGAGUGUAUGGCAGGCUUUUCUCAUUAGUCUAUCUUAAGGCCAUAAGCAACUCUUGCAUGGCUGCUUGUGCAGCAGGGCCUGCGACAGGCCAUGAAGAAAUAUGCUUGGACCAUACGGUGAUGGAAUCGCAGUAAUGAAUGCAGUCUGCCAUUCUAAAGUCCAACCAGAGCGGCUCCUGCUCUCAUUUAUUUCUCCUUUCAUUUCUGUCCUUUAUUUUUCUCUUGCUCCACUCAUCAUGAUGAUAUUAGCAUUUGGUGUAUAAAAUGAUUGUCUCUUCCUCUCUGUAAGAACGGUUUAUGGCCAGUGGUCUUUGAUUUGGUCAUUUAUGCAUGCUUCAUAAACUACGAGACUUUUAUGUCCUAGAGGUUGAGUUUUGUUUAAAUGAACAGAUUACUAAUUCAUUUAUUUAUUUAUACAUUCAAGUCACAUUAAAGCUGACAUACCUUCAUCAUUUAUAUUUUACUUUUUAAAGGAUUAUAUUAAGAUUUUAUAGUUUAACCUGUCCCAUAUGUAGACUUUCAGUCCUA